rnacentral:misc_RNA from 1 species
AUCUUUAUCUAGCGGUCGUCGGUCGGAGCGCGAUCGAUACGGAACCACUCAACUUCGCUGUUAUUAGUGUAAUCGUAAAUGUUUGCACUCGAGCGCGCGCAGCACGACAGUGCGCAGCAGCCCGCAGUGACCGGUGACGUGACCAGUGACGUCACGCGCAACGAACGAAGUGAACGCGAAUAACUAUAAUAAUAGCGCACGCCCGCCGCACUCCGCACUCCGCACACUGCACAGUUCGCGCGAAACAGCCGCACGCGCCGGACGCGCCGCACGCGCCGCCCUCCGCCCGCGCCGCACGUCCGCACGCGCGACCGCCAGUCCCGGCCCUGCGCCGGGAUGACCGAGACGAAGAGUCGCCUUCGCCGCAGCGCCGACAUCGGAUUCGUUAGAGGGCCUCGGCCGCCGGGCCGUGCGCGGCACACUAACUGCACCAACCGAGCGAGCCGCACGCGCCGCACCAGCCGCUCGCUCCGCACGCGCCGCACCAGCCGCUCGAGCCGCACAUGA